AUUAUAUCGAUUAAGUGAAUAAAUUGCGCGUUCUAGAAUCCCAAGUGUUUACUUUUGAACUAUCAUGUGGUUAUAUACGCAUUCCAGCACAGAUUGCUUGGAUCGAGUUGGUGUGAUGUUAUUAAAUCAUUGCUGUGAUAGAUACAACCAAGGGGCACUUUCUCAAAGUUGAAACCUUUAAUUGUUGUCACAGACAUUCGUAGAGCGCGCAGACAAAGACCUAUAUAUACAUCUUCUAACGGAAGGAGUGGAACGUUUUUUGAAACGUCGAACAGUUUUUUUGCGACACGAAUGCUUGUCACAUAACCCGUCCCAGAGCAGAAUCCUGGAAAAUACUUUUUCGGAUACAUCUUGUAUGAUAUGUACCAUUUUGAGUCCCUCUGUCGAUUGGGCUUUUCCUUACUCCAGCAAUAUCCUCCUACGGAUUCCUGCAACUGACUUUUGUGUUGGCUAAGUGUGGCUAAUAAAGCCUCUGUAUUCACAAAUACAUCGUCAUCCGUUUUCAUUAGGAACUCAGCGUGGCCACAAUAGUCACUGGCCCAUUUUAAAGCUGUUACAGUUUUUAAAGUGAGAUUCCUAUAAGAAUCCAAGAAAUUUUGUUGAAUGAUGUCAUUGUGGAUCGAAUUUUCUGUCUCCAGAGCCGUUUGCAGUCUAUUAUUUGGUGAAGUCCCCAACACAAAAGCAUACCUGAUUUUGUCAGUGUUUCGCUUUGAUGCACGGAGCCACGUCUGUCUCAAAGCCUCCCUUUGACGAAAAUUCUCAUGUUUGGUGAAUAUUAUAAUAAUAAUGCGAAUUGAGCGCGUUCUAUUCCUCGCGCCACAGAUGUUUGCAUUAUUCAGAACAUAUUGGUAUCUAUGAACAAAACACGAAUGGCAUGAAAUAGGCAGGCUAGUAGAUGAGGUAGUAUCAAAAAAAUCCUUGAUAUUAAUCAUGGCGAAUACACUUUUUCUUAGUCUUUUGAAAGAAAUUGAAACAUUUGAUAAAUGGUGAUAUUGGUUCCAUACAUUCCAAAGCACAACAAGAAGCAAAAUCACGAUGAAAGAUAUUUGUUUUCGAACAGUACAGAGUCUUCUUAGUGUUUUAAAAACCACCACCAUUUUGUGCUAGCUGCCCAUGCACGUGUACACACCGCUGUUCAAUGAUCCCCAUUAAAUUUCAAAAACCCUUAUAUCGGUAUCCGAGCGAACAAAAGAUAUUUACAACCUGGUCUUGUGUCGGUAUUUCGACCAAAGUUGAAAUGAGGUAGCUUGUUCAGCUGAAAACAUAACGGUAACGUCUCAAAAUCUGGAUAAAUAGAGUUAGAAUUACGUAACCAGGAAGUUAAGUAAAUACAAUGUACAGUGUAGUGUAAAAAAACAACCCCGACAUGUUUAUAUCAUCGCGAAUGUUGACCGGUUUUAUGAAUAUUUUCCUUUCUGAUUUCGUUUUCAAAAGACAAUAGUACACUUAAUGAUGCUAAAAAAUUCUAUUUAUUAAAUAUGGAAAUGGAUUUAGGAACAAGAUGACUGUUGUACCGCCUUUAAAAGGAUGAAAUUUAUAACUUGAAUAAAAGUUCUCUAUCAAUU
rnacentral:sRNA from 1 species